rnacentral:rRNA from 1 species
AUGCCGCAGAAGAAGCGCCCCCGCCGUAGGAGGUCUCCUCCCGAAGGAUCCUCCCGCAGGCGCCGUGGUGUAGAUGGCGCAUCCUUGUCUGGAUCCCUUGUCGAAUCGGAUGGGAGCAGCAGCAGCAGCACGAGUUCCGGCGCGCGGGCGCCGGAAUCCCUCGCCCAGCCGUCGUACACCCGGCCGGCUCGCAAGUACGAGUCCAGGUACCAUGAGAUGCUCGCCUCGCGAAUCGCCGUGCUGCCUCUACCAGCCUACGCCGACGACGAAGGCCCAGAUCUCCCUUCUGCUGAAACUUUCGAAGCCCUCGUUCGUCCUUAUUUCUAUGAUGACCAGCUGCGGGCUGCUCUGGUAGAGUACCAAGUCCACAAGUUCUUGAGCCGACCAGAGGAUGUCCAUGGACGAGAUGGAGAUUCAGGACAAGUUGAUUCGUCCUCCUCACUGAUGGAUGAUAUCCCCGAGGAGGAAUUCCAGGCAGACGAUGCACGGCUCAGGUCUCACAUAGUACAUGAAGUUGACACCGAGGAUAUAUUGGAUGAAGACGAGGCCAACAGGCUCAGUCACAAGUACGCACGAUAUCGCCUCAAAGCUUGCAUGUUGCUCAAAGGAGUGCCUAUCGACGAUGCUGCAUUCGACUCCCAGUACCCUCCAGACCUUCCCUUGGACAACCACCGUCUUUACCUGGAAGAUGAAGCCUUGGGCUGGUGGUUUGACUUGGGCACCUCUUCACCCGCGACCUUGAGCGACUAUCAGCGGCUAGUCCCUUGUAAUGAAUGGAUUGAAGAACAUGCGCUUAAAGGCUAUAUGGAGUGGCAUGAAUUGCGUGCAAAAGCUUGGCGCCAAGCAGUUAGGAUUGCUACUAGGUUCGAAAACAUUCCUCUGAGGCUAGCAUAUUAUGGUUUCCGGGAGUAUACUACGAGCAGAUAUCUCGCGUUCGUGAAAGAUCUUGACUCUGUGUUUUUUGAGAUUUGGAAGCUGGUCAAUGGGCCUAAUAAGAUGUCUUUCAGAGAUGCUAUGAAGCAUGUGUAUGAGGAGAACCCAUUUCCAUUACGCAAACGUGAUUUGGAGCAUGAGCUGAGUCACCCUGUCUCGUUGGGAUUGGAGGAAGAUUUUCGACGGUGCACGGAGGGCAUCAGCAAGGAAGUUCCAGAGUGGAUAGCGCGUGUGUUAAUUUCGCAGGAAUUUAGUUUCAAGUGUGAUCUGCCAAGGAGGUAUGUGCAUUAUGCCAGGAAGAAGCUCAAGAUUGCAGAAAUCAUUGGAUUGAUUCCCAAAUCCAAGAUAACAGCAUAG